AAAAUGUGUUUUGUGGUAAUUAGCAUUGUGAAUAAGUGUUUUGUGGUAAUAAGCACUGUGAAUAAGUGUUUUGUGGUAAUAAGCACUGUGAAUAAGUGUUUUGUGGUAAUAAGCACACUAAUGGGAAUAAGUGUAAUAACACCUGCUUGAACUAAGGUUAGAGAUUGAAAACCAGUUUUGUGACAUACGGACUGACUUUCAGACGGAAAAGGGUAAAACUUAAUGGCCCCUCCCCUAAAGGGAAAGCACAAAAAAUAUCUAUUUAACCUAACAUUACACUUUCUAUGUAGUUUUUUUUAUAAUUGGCUGAUAGAUAAGACAUCUUUUAGUCACAGUAUGUUCCUAUAAAGAAAGAAAAAAGAGACAUUAAAACAUAAAGACCAGUGUUUACUGAGUAGGGUUUUACUAUAGGUGCCUCUUUUUUCAAUUAUUUCACACAAAUAGAAGCAAAUACAAACUGUUUAUCACUGACUUUCAUCAGUAAAUGACACAAUUAUUUGUGUUUAUGUGUAAAAGAUGAGGAAUUUUGGGGGGUUUUAUUUGUAAUAUGAUCUUUUUUUCUUUUCUUUUAUAAAUUCUUUGUUGCAGCUAUUACCAUAAAUGCUACUAUCAAUUGCAUAUUUGUUAGUCUCUGAUGCCAGACAACAAUACAAAGACUAAUUAUUCAGAAAUGGGAUUCCUGCACAUUAUAUCGCAAGAUAAUAUUACAUUUCAAUGUGCUAAUUAUGAUAUCCAUCCUGUAAUAUUUUUGCACUAAUAAAAACAUCACAUUAUUUGAACAAUAAAACCAUGUUCUGUCAGACAUUUAAUCCAAUGGCAUAUGCAGUU
rnacentral:lncRNA from 1 species